AUGGUCUAUGAAAAUCCAAUGGCUAUUUUCGACUGGAUAGAUGUCCGUUUUACAAUUCCAAGUACUAACAUACAUAUUGUGGAUUGGAGGCGGGAGAGAAAUCUGCAAUGCAGGAAUACCAAACCCUAUGAACCGGGUGUGGUGGGAGUUGAUGUCUUGGACAGACAUGUAGAUCCCUCCGGAAAGUUGCACAGCUAGCUCUCUGAGCACAGAGUGGGGUGCCUUCCAUUGUGAAGUCUCUUAUUGGUGCAGCAAGAACCAAAACAUAUGUGCAAGAACAUUCUGUAGUUGACCCCGUAGAGAAAACAAUGGAACUUAAAUCUACUAAUAUUUCAUUUACAAAUAUGGUUUCAGUAGAUGAGAGACUUAUAUACAAACCACAUCCCCAGGACCCAGAAAAAACUGUUUUGACUCAAGAAGCCAUAAUCACUGUGAAAGGAGUCAGCCUUAGCAGUUACCUUGAAGGACUGAUGGCAAGUACCAUAUCUUCAAAUGCUAAUAAAGGCCGAGAAGUAAUGGAAUGGGUAAUACAUAAAUUAAAUGCCGAGAUUGAAGAACUGACGGCUUCAGCAAGAGGAAGCAUAAGGACUCUAAUGGCAGCAGCAGCAUUUGUAGAAAAAUGAUAAUACCAGUUGGUAGAUAACAUUGGGUGCCCCAGGUCUCUCCAAGCUGGCAAUAUUUAUUCAUUAUUUAAAAAAUACAACUA